AAUGAUUAAUGGUACUACGUGAUCAAUCACAUACAUAAUUGCUUUUACUGUCCCUAAUUGUAAAAUCGAACCAACCCUAGCCAAAGUCACUACCUAGGUUGCCUGGACAUGUUCAUUGAUCGAGCUUACACAAACGAGAGAAGAUUCACCAAGCAUGCAGAUUUCAAGCAAUUUUUAUACGAGGUGUUCAUGAGCUAUUUUUAUACAAGUAAAUGCAUACAGAUUGUUUAUGUUUUAAUGUUCAUUACUUUUUCUUUUUGUUCGCCAGUAUACUUAAAUUUCUUGCACCGUCAUUGAUCCAUACUCAAACAAGUUUAAACAAGUCAAAGUAUGUAAAACCUUGAAUGCGUGAGUUAAAUUGCAGUCCCUAAUUACUCCUGAACGUACAUCAGCCAAAUGAUGAGACCCCUAAACUCGAGUUUUUUUUUAAUCAAACUGAACCUUCAUUCAGCAUGAAACAGUAUAUGGGUGUUUGGAACAAAUCUGUCCAAGGACAGAACAAAUCAAACAAGAUUCCGGACUAGAAAUCUCGGAAAGUAGGGAUCGUCAAAUGGUCCGGCCCUGCCCUACAAAAGCCCAACCGGCUCGGACUGAGCAUCAACCAUAUUUUUUUAAAUUUAAGGGCUGGGCUCUUCCAAAAAACAAGACCCUCGGGCUGCCAACGGGCCAGGGCCUUAUGGACUUAUUAGGGCCAGCCACGAGCCCGGGCUUAUGUAUAUAUAUCUAAUACUGAUGAAGAAUAAAGUGUAGAGACAAAGAGAUAGCAAAAGAAUCAUCUUAUCCAUUGAUAGGAGCCCUUUAUAUAGAGAAUUACACAAUACCAAUAUGGUAAGGAUAUGAAUACAUAGAUCUAGUCUAACUACAUAUCCUAUUGGCAUAAGGCCAAGGCACACAUAGAGAAUAUCCUAGAACACUCCCCCUUGUGCCGCGCGCUGAUAUGCCGAUGGUGCUGAUCUGUUGCCUCGUCAAAAACCUCGUCAAGUCACAAAAACCCUGUGGGAGAAAACUGAACCUUGAUCGUAGGAGAAAAAGAGUACAACGCACCCUUCACAUUUGAUAGUGACAUGUAUGUAUGUGCUAGACUCCCCCUGAAGUUCGCACCUCCCCCUGAUCUUUACAUCAAUCAUAGGGCUCUUCCUGAUUCUUACUAAUCACGAAGUUUCAAC
rnacentral:lncRNA from 1 species